rnacentral:rRNA from 1 species
AGAGUUUGAUCCUGGCUCAGGAUGAACGCUAGCGACAGGCCUAACACAUGCAAGUCGAGGGGCAGCGGGGAGGUAGCAAUACCUUUGCCGGCGACCGGCGCACGGGUGAGUAACACGUAUGCAAUCCACCUGUAACAGGGGGAUAACCCGGAGAAAUCCGGACUAAUACCCCAUGAUAUGGGCUCUCCGCAUGGAGGGUCCAUUAAAGAGAGCAAUCUUGGUUACAGACGAGCAUGCGCUCCAUUAGCCAGUUGGCGGGGUAACGGCCCACCAAGGCGACGAUGGAUAGGGGUUCUGAGAGGAAGGUCCCCCACAUUGGAACUGAGACACGGUCCAAACUCCUACGGGAGGCAGCAGUGAGGAAUAUUGGUCAAUGGACGAGAGUCUGAACCAGCCAAGUAGCGUGAAGGAUGAAGGUCCUACGGAUUGUAAACUUCUUUUAUAAGGGAAUAAACCCUCCCACGUGUGGGAGCUUGUAUGUACCUUAUGAAUAAGCAUCGGCUAACUCCGUGCCAGCAGCCGCGGUAAUACGGAGGAUGCGAGCGUUAUCCGGAUUUAUUGGGUUUAAAGGGAGCGCAGACGGGUCGUUAAGUCAGCUGUGAAAGUUUGGGGCUCAACCUUAAAAUUGCAGUUGAUACUGGCGUCCUUGAGUGCGGUUGAGGUGUGCGGAAUUCGUGGUGUAGCGGUGAAAUGCUUAGAUAUCACGAAGAACUCCGAUUGCGAAGGCAGCACACUAAUCCGUAACUGACGUUCAUGCUCGAAAGUGUGGGUAUCAAACAGGAUUAGAUACCCUGGUAGUCCACACGGUAAACGAUGGAUACUCGCUGUUGGCGAUAUACUGUCAGCGGCUUAGCGAAAGCGUUAAGUAUCCCACCUGGGGAGUACGCCGGCAACGGUGAAACUCAAAGGAAUUGACGGGGGCCCGCACAAGCGGAGGAACAUGUGGUUUAA